rnacentral:rRNA from 1 species
CGGACGGGUGAGUAAUGUCUGGGAAACUGCCUGAUGAGGGGGAUAACUACUGGAAACGGUAGCUAAUACCGCAUAACGUCGCAAGACCAAAGAGGGGGACCUUCGGGCCUCUUGCCAUCGGAUGUGCCCAGAUGGGAUUAGCUAGUAGGUGGGGUAACGGCUCACCUAGGUGACGAUCCCUAGCUGGUCUGAGAGGAUGACCAGCCACACUGGAACUGAGACACGGUCCAG